GACGAACGCUGGCGGCGUGCCUAAUACAUGCAAGUCGAGCGCGUGAAACAACUUGAUCCCUUCGGGGUGAUGGUUGUGGAUCGAGCGGCGGACGGGUGAGUAACACGUGGGCAACCUGCCUGUAAGACUGGGAUAACUUCGGGAAACCGGAGCUAAUACCGGAUAAUCAAUGGCAUCUCCUGAUGCCAUUGUGAAAGAUGGUUCUGCCAUCACUUACAGAUGGGCCCGCGGCGCAUUAGCUAGUUGGUGGGGUAAUGGCCCACCAAGGCAACGAGGCGUAGCCGACCUGAGAGGGUGAUCGGCCACACUGGGACUGAGACACGGCCCAGACUCCUACGGGAGGCAGCAGUAGGGAAUCUUCGGCAAUGGACGAAAGUCUGACCGAGCAACGCCGCGUGAGUGAUGAAGGUCUUCGGAUCGUAAAGCUCUGUUGUCAGAGAAGAACACGUGACAGAGGAAAUGCUGUCACCUUGACGGUAUCUGACCAGAAAGCCCCGGCUAACUACGUGCCAGCAGCCGCGGUAA
rnacentral:rRNA from 1 species